UUUUGACCUCGGAUCAGGUAGGGAUACCCGCUGAACUUAAGCAUAUCAAUAAGCGGAGG
rnacentral:rRNA from 7 species